GGUCGAUCCUUGAACCCCUGGAUUGUUGUUUAACUCUCCCCUUUUCUCGUUGAUUUUUUUUACAUAAGCACUCUUAUAGCUGCCGCAGAAGCCUGAAACCUGGGCGAGUUUUGAGCUGGGAGAUAGAACGAGAUUCACACGACAUGCCGCGUGACCAGGUCACCAGAAAACUCCAUUUCUUCUGUGAGGGGUUUCAAAGAGAAUAACGACCUACUCAGAGAAUGCCACUGUAGCAGAAACUACUGGAUGCUCACCAAACCCAUUUCCUCUUCUUCCUAAGCAUACAGCUCAAAUAAAUUACCCAGCCUCCCUUUUGUGGCCAUGUAACUGUGUUCCAGCGAGAGGAAUGUGAGGAUAAGUGGCAUGCACCACUUCCAGCCCUGGCCCGUAAAAAUCCUCCGACGUGCAUCUUCCAAACUCCCUUCUCUGGCUGCCUAGAGUGACAUUGACUUUU
rnacentral:lncRNA from 1 species